rnacentral:tRNA from 1 species
UCAGAAUAUAGUUUAUAUAUUAAAACAUGAAACUUGGAUUUUCAAAAUUGAUUUCUGAAAAUACUUUCUGAA